rnacentral:rRNA from 1 species
GAUGAACGCUGGCGGCGUGCUUAACACAUACAAGUCGAACGAUGAAGCCCAGCUUGCUGGGUGGAUUAGUGGCGAACGGGUGAGUAACACGUGAGUAACCUGCCCUUAACUCUGGGAUAAGCCUGGGAAACUGGGUCUAAUACCGGAUAGGAGCGCCUACCGCAUGGUGGGUGUUGGAAAGAUUUAUCGGUUUUGGAUGGACUCGCGGCCUAUCAGCUUGUUGGUGAGGUAAUGGCUCACCAAGGCGACGACGGGUAGCCGGCCUGAGAGGGUGACCGGCCACACUGGGACUGAGACACGGCCCAGACUCCUACGGGAGGCAGCAGUGGGGAAUAUUGCACAAUGGGCGAAAGCCUGAUGCAGCGACGCCGCGUGAGGGAUGACGGCCUUCGGGUUGUAAACCUCUUUCAGUAGGGAAGAAGCGAAAGUGACGGUACCUGCAGAAGAAGCACCGGCUAACUACGUG